UACGGAGGGUGCAAGCGUUAUCCGGAUUCACUGGGUUUAAAGGGUGCGUAGGUGGGUAUGUAAGUCAGUGGUGAAAUCCCCGAGCUUAACUUGGGAACUGCCGUUGAUACUAUAUAUCUUGAAUAUCGCGUAGGUAAGCGGAAUAUGUCAUGUAGCGGUGAAAUGCUUAGAUAUGACAUAGAACACCAAUUGCGAAGGCAGCUUACUUCACGAUUAUUGACACUGAGGCACGAAAGCGUGGGGAG
rnacentral:rRNA from 1 species